rnacentral:rRNA from 1 species
UGGCUCAGAUUGAACGCUGGCGGCAGGCCUAACACAUGCAAGUCGAGCGGGGUUUCGGACCUAGCGGCGGACGGGUGAGUAAUGCGUAGGAAGCUACCCGAUAGAGGGGGAUACCAGUUGGAAACGACUGUUAAUACCGCAUAAUGUCUACGGACCAAAGUGUGGGACCUUCGGGCCACAUGCUAUCGGAUGCGCCUACGUGGGAUUAGCUAGUUGGUGGGGUAAUGGCUCACCAAGGCGACGAUCCCUAGCUGGUUUGAGAGGAUGAUCAGCCACACUGGAACUGAGACACGGUCCAGACUCCUACGGGAGGCAGCAGUGGGGAAUAUUGGACAAUGGGCGCAAGCCUGAUCCAGCCAUGCCGCGUGUGUGAAGAAGGCCUUCGGGUUGUAAAGCACUUUCAGCGAGGAGGAAGGGAGUUGUGUUAAUAGCACAGCUUCUUGACGUUACUCGCAGAAGAAGCACCGGCUAACUCUGUG